rnacentral:rRNA from 1 species
CCCUUAGAUGUUCUGGGCCGCACGCGCGCUACACUGACGCAUUCAACGAGUCUCCUUGGCCGAGAGGCCUGGGUAAUCUUGUGAACGUGCGUCGUGAUAGGGAUAGAUUAUUGCAAUUAUUAAUCUUGAACGAGGAAUUCCUAGUAAACGCAGAUCAUUAAUCUGCAUUGAUUACGUCCCUGCCCUUUGUACACACCGCCCGUCGCACCUACCGAUUGGAUGGUCCGGUGAGGCCUCGGGAUUGUGGCCGGUGCAUUCAUUUGUGUCGGUUGCGAGAACUUGUCCAAACCUUAUCAUCUAGAGGAAGGUGAAGUCGUAACA